AAAGAGACCUAGUACAAAGCAGAAGGAAACUAAAGCCGAGUACAAAUUAAAAGGUCAAUUACAGGCAAAAGUAAGAAAUCUCUCAAACUAGACUAGGUUCGGGAAUGGGCUAUUAGCUCAGUUGGUUAGAGCGCACCCCUGAUAAGGGUGAGGUCUCUGGUUCAAAUCCAGAAUGGCCCAUCUAACCCCAACCAAAGUGGGGGUAUAGCUCAGCUGGUAGAGCGCCUGCUUUGCAAGCAGGAUGUCAGCGGUUCGAGUCCGCUUAUCUCCACUACCGAGAAACACAGCACCAGCUAAAAAAGCUGAAUGCUGGAGUCAUCUCCAGUAUCGCACCUUGAAAACUGCAUAAACAAAACAACAACCAAGAUGUAGGUGAAAGUAUUAAUAGAGCGAGAGCAAAAUUAAUAAAAGUAGCAGACAAAAGAAUCAAGCCAAAGAAACAAGU
rnacentral:tRNA from 2 species